rnacentral:misc_RNA from 1 species
UCCUGGUUAACCCAGGCAGUCUCGCUAGAGUUCCCAGCAUUACCUGUUGGCAACUAACGAUAAGGGUUGCGCUCGUUGCGGGACUUAACCCAACACCUCACGGCACGAGCUGACGACAGCCAUGCAGCACCUGUGUAAAGGCCCCGAAGGGCUAUAACAUUUCUGCUAUAUUCCUCUACAUGUCAAGUCUGGGUAAGGUUCUUCGCGUUGCAUCGAAUUAAACCACAUGCUCCACUGCUUGUGCGGGUCCCCGUCAAUUCUUUUGAGUUUCACCCUUGCGAGCGUACUCCCCAGGCGGUAUACUUAUCGCGUUAGCUCCGGCACAAUCGGGGUUGAGUCCGACUACACCAAGUAUACAUAGUUUACGGCAAGGACUAC